AUCUGAUAAUGGCAAUGUUGUUGUUUUUACCUACACACUUGAUUGGCUCGAUGUUUGCUUAGAAUAGGUUGCAUAACCUAGACUGGUAAGUAAAUAUAGAACCGGAGCUAAAACUUGAAAACAGGUUACUUAGUGCUUUUGGCAAAUCAAACCCCUCAGCCAAGAAGCCUUGCAUGUCUAGUUGGAAGAGUAGUUGGCUCCUCCCCGGUUAAGUCUUGUUGAGCUUAGUAGCUCAGCCUUGUUGUGGCUCCUGUUUUUCAGGUGAAGUUGCAGUUCCCGACCCCUCCCUUGUUGGCGCUUGGCCGCCCCAGCUCCCGCCAGGCUGGACGGUCGAGUGGGACCCUUCCUCGGAC
rnacentral:lncRNA from 1 species